rnacentral:rRNA from 2 species
GCAGAGUUUGAUCCUGGCUCAGAUUGAACNCUGGCGGCAGGCCUAACACAUGCAAGUCGAGCGGUAGCACAGAGAGCUUGCUCUCGGGUGACGAGCGGCGGACGGGUGAGUAAUGUCUGGGAAACUGCCUGAUGGAGGGGGAUAACUACUGGAAACGGUAGCUAAUACCGCAUAACGUCGCAAGACCAAAGUGGGGGACCUUCGGGCCUCAUGCCAUCAGAUGUGCCCAGAUGGGAUUAGCUGGUAGGUGGGGUAACGGCUCACCUAGGCGACGAUCCCUAGCUGGUCUGAGAGGAUGACCAGCCACACUGGAACUGAGACACGGUCCAGACUCCUACGGGAGGCAGCAGUGGGGAAUAUUGCACAAUGGGCGCAAGCCUGAUGCAGCCAUGCCGCGUGUGUGAAGAAGGCCUUCGGGUUGUAAAGCACUUUCAGCGGGGAGGAAGGCGGUGAGGUUAAUAACCUCAUCGAUUGACGUUACCCGCAGAAGAAGCACCGGCUAACUCCGUGCCAGCAGCCGCGGUAAUACGGAGGGUGCAAGCGUUAAUCGGAAUUACUGGGCGUAAAGCGCACGCAGGCGGUCUGUCAAGUCGGAUGUGAAAUCCCCGGGCUCAACCUGGGAACUGCAUUCGAAACUGGCAGGCUAGAGUCUUGUAGAGGGGGGUAGAAUUCCAGGUGUAGCGGUGAAAUGCGUAGAGAUCUGGAGGAAUACCGGUGGCGAAGGCGGCCCCCUGGACAAAGACUGACGCUCAGGUGCGAAAGCGUGGGGAGCAAACAGGAUUAGAUACCCUGGUAGUCCACGCUGUAAACGAUGUCGAUUUGGAGGUUGUGCCCUUGAGGCGUGGCUUCCGGAGCUAACGCGUUAAAUCGACCGCCUGGGGAGUACGGCCGCAAGGUUAAAACUCAAAUGAAUUGACGGGGGCCCGCACAAGCGGUGGAGCAUGUGGUUUAAUUCGAUGCAACGCGAAGAACCUUACCUGGUCUUGACAUCCACAGAACUUACCAGAGAUGGAUUGGUGCCUUCGGGAACUGUGAGACAGGUGCUGCAUGGCUGUCGUCAGCUCGUGUUGUGAAAUGUUGGGUUAAGUCCCGCAACGAGCGCAACCCUUAUCCUUUGUUGCCAGCGGUCCGGCCGGGAACUCAAAGGAGACUGCCAGUGAUAAACUGGAGGAAGGUGGGGAUGACGUCAAGUCAUCAUGGCCCUUACGACCAGGGCUACACACGUGCUACAAUGGCAUAUACAAAGAGAAGCGACCUCGCGAGAGCAAGCGGACCUCAUAAAGUAUGUCGUAGUCCGGAUUGGAGUCUGCAACUCGACUCCAUGAAGUCGGAAUCGCUAGUAAUCGUAGAUCAGAAUGCUACGGUGAAUACGUUCCCGGGCCUUGUACACACCGCCCGUCACACCAUGGGAGUGGGUUGCAAAAGAAGUAGGUAGCUUAACCUUCGGGAGGGCGCUUACCACUUNGNGAUUCAUGACUGGGGUGAAGUCGUAACAAGG